GGUCCGAUAGCAUAGCGGUUAUGCUCCGAGGUCAAAUCGGAAGGUCACCGGUUCGAAUCCUAUUGGUAGCG